rnacentral:rRNA from 1 species
AAACUCGGUCAUUUAGAGGAAGUAAAAGUCGUAACAAGGUC